AUGUCUCAGCUUAAGUUGCUUUCUGCUACACUGUGAAUGGCUCAUUAUAUCAGCCACAAAUUGAUUGGUGGCUGACACAUAUGGAUAUCUAUGGCAACUCUGUAGCUAACACAUGCUCGUUGACCCUGCUGGAUGGGUUGUAGCCAUUCUCACAAGAACCAAUUCAGGCUCUGCUUGGCCAAGCAUGAGUACAAAUGGCUGUAUGAAUCACGGUGUCUGUGCAGGUGAUAAUCCUUCAAGGUUUCUGACCUAUCAGCUUCCGACGGCAGGGUAAUGGCCCACUGUGGCAGUGACAGGUGACGGAGGAUUAGGGUUUGAUUCCGGAGAGGGAGCCUGAGAAAUGGCUACCACAUCCAAGGAAGGCAGCAGGCGCGCAACUUGCCCAAUUCUGGACGAAAGAGGUAGUGACAAGAAAUAGCAAUUCAAGGCAUCCAUGUCUUGUACUUGGAAUGAAAGACCUGCACACUUCCUUUUGAGUAUCUAUUGGAGGGCAAGUCUGGUGCCAGCAGCCGCGGUAAUUCCAGCUCCAAUGGCAUAUGUUAGAGUUGUUGCAGUUAAAAGGCUCGUAGUUGGAUUUCUGCAGAGGAUGCCUGGUCCGCCCA
rnacentral:rRNA from 1 species